rnacentral:rRNA from 1 species
AGAAUUUGAUCUUGGUUCAGAUUGAAUGCUGACGGCGUGGAUGAGGCAUGCAAGUCGAACGAAGCGAUAGGCAACUGUCGCUUAGUGGCGAAAGGGUUAGUAAUACAUAGGUAACGUACCUUUUACUUGGGAAUAACGGCUGGAAACGGCCGCUAAUACCUAAUGAGGUGAUGUGGGGAAUCUCACGUUCAUCAAAGUAGGGGAUCAUGAAAAUGACCUUGCGGUAGAAGAGUGGCUUAUGGGAUAUCAGCUUGUUGGUGAGGUAAAGGCUCACCAAGGCUAAGACGUCUAGGCGGAUUGAGAGAUUGACCGCCAACAUUGGGACUGAGACACUGCCCAAACUCCUACGGGAGGCUGCAGUCGAGAAUCAUUCGCAAUGGGCGGAAGCCUGACGAUGCGACGCCGUGUGAGCGAUGAAGGCCUUAGGGUUGUAAAGCUCUUUCGCUUGGGAACAAGAGAAGCUGUUUAAUAUGCAGCUAAUUUGAGCGUACCAAGUAAAGAAGCACCGGCUAACUCCGUGCCAGCAGCUGCGGUAAUACGGAGGGUGCAAGCAUUAAUCGGAUUUAUUGGGCGUAAAGGGCGCGUAGGUGGGUUUGUAAGUCAGAUGUGAAAUUCCGAGGCUCAACUUCGGAGCUGCAUUUGAAACUGCAGACCUUGAGGGUAGACGGAGAAAGUAGAAUUCCACGUGUAGCGGUAAAAUGCGUAGAUAUGUGGAAGAAUACCUGUGGCGAAAGCGACUUUCUAGUUUAUUCCUGACACUGAGGCGCGAAAGCAAGGGGAGCAAACAGGAUUAGAUACCCUGGUAGUCCUUGCCGUAAACGAUGUAUACUUGGUGUAGUCGGGCUCAACCCCGACUGUGCCGUAGCUAACGUGUUAAGUAUACCGCCUGAGGAGUACGCUCGCAAGGGUGAAACUCAAAAGAAUUGACGGGGGCCCGCACAAGCAGUGGAGUAUGUGGUUUAAUUCGAUGCAACGCGAAGAACCUUACCCAGGUUUGAACUGCAGAGGACAGAAUCAGAAAUGGUUUUUCCCGUAAGGGUCUUUGUAGAGGUGCUGCAUGGCUGUCGUCAGCUCGUGCCGUGAGGUGUUGGGUUAAGUCCCGCAACGAGCGCAACCCUUAUCGUUAGUUGCCAGCAUGUAAUGAUGGGAACUCUAACGAGACUGCCUAGGUUAACUAGGAGGAAGGUGAGGAUUACGUCAAGUCCGCAUGGCCUUUAUGCCUGGGGCUACACACGUACUACAAUGGUCGGUACAGAAGGCAGCUAAGCCGCGAGGUGGAGCAAAUCCUAGAAAGCCGAUCUCAGUUCGGAUUGUAGUCUGCAACUCGACUACAUGAAGUUGGAAUUGCUAGUAAUGGCGUGUCAGCAAUAACGCCGUGAAUACGUUCCCGGGCCUUGUACACACCGCCCGUCACAUCAUGGGAGUUGGUUCUACCCGAAGCCGCUGACUUAACCGUAAGGAGAGAGGCGUCUAAGGUGGGGCCGAUGACUGGGAUGAAGUCGUAACAAGGUA